rnacentral:hammerhead_ribozyme from 1 species
AUCUGGAUGACGAGUCCAAAAUAGGAUGAAAUUCGCAUCCUGGAU